rnacentral:lncRNA from 1 species
GUUCUAGACAAAAAGUUUGAGUAUGACUAGGAACCGACCACAAUAAAGGCAAAGCUUUAGCUACUAGAAUGGGAUGAACAAAUUUUGUGAUUGUGGAUAAAAAGAGCAACAACACUGACACCUAGGAAGGGAAAAUCUUGGACCACUGGAGGUGAAGCGAGUGAGGAUUAAUGCUCUCUUUGUAUGCUAGAUGAAGCACACAGCCUGGCAAGGCAACCAUAUAGUUUGGUUGUGUGUUGGUUUGUCAUCUCCUUCCACAUUCCAUGAAAACAGAAAAACUCCUGUGAAUAUGGCCUCUCCUGAACAUUUCUACAACAUGAAUGGCAGCUUCCCAAUACAGAUUCCCCAUCCUCUUAAGUGUGAAAACACAGGAAUCAGCACAACAUUUUCUCAAUCUGAUUCAUACAAACGUGUAUUUUUCCCCUGGUGUCUGGACUGUCUUGGGUUAUACCAUGAAUGCCUACAGAAGUUUCAAAUACUCACUGACCCUGCUCAUAUAGCCUAACCAAAGUGAACUAAUGCUGACCCAAAUAAAGUGUAGCAAUAAAUUUCAAACUGGA